UGAGGAAUUUUGCGCAAUGGGGGAAACCCUGACGCAGCGACGCCGCGUGGGUGAUGAAGGCUUUCGGGUCGUAAAGCCCUGUCAGGUGGGAAUAAGUGCCGUGCGGUUAAUACCCGUGCGGCUUGACGGUACCACCAGAAGAAGCACCGGCUAACUCCGUGCCAGCAGCCGCGGUAAUACGGAGGGUGCGAGCGUUGUUCGGAAUUACUGGGCGUAAAGGGCGCGUAGGCGGCUACGCAAGUCGGAUGUGAAAGCCCACGGCUCAACCGUGGAAUUGCAUCUGAAACUGCGUGGCUUGAGUAUGGGAGAGGAUAGUGGAAUUCCCGGUGUAGAGGUGAAAUUCGUAGAUAUCGGGAGGAACACCAGUAGCGAAGGCGACUAUCUGGCCCAAUACUGACGCUGAGGCGCGAAAGCGUGGGGAGCAAACAGGAUUAGAUACCCUGGUAGUCCACAGCUGUAAACGAUGUGCACUAGGUGUA
rnacentral:rRNA from 1 species